AGCUCAUCCAGAGGGGCAGAGGGAUCGGCCCGAAGAAGCCCCGGCAACCAGCGCCGGCCAGUCGCGACCACCGCGAGGCCGACCGGCGCCCACGGUGCCAAUUCCGGCCCGCCACCGCGCGGGGAAGAUGAGGG
rnacentral:ncRNA from 1 species